UACGAAGGGUGCAAACGUUGCUCGGAAUUAUUGGGCGUAAAGCGCACGUAGGCGGCUUUUCAAGUCCCAUGUGAAAGCCCACGGCUUAACCGUGGAAGUGCAUGGGAAACUGGAAAGCUUGAGUACUUAAGAGGAUCGCGGAAUUCCCGGUGUAGCGGUGAAAUGCGCAGAUAUCGGGAAGAACACCCGUGGCGAAGGCGGCUCUCUGGGACGGUACUGACGCUGAGACGCGAAAGCGUGGGGAGCGAACAGG
rnacentral:rRNA from 1 species